rnacentral:rRNA from 1 species
AGAGUUUGAUCCUGGCUCAGGAUGAACGCUAGCGACAGGCUUAACACAUGCAAGUCGAGGGGCAGCACAGGGUAGCAAUACUUGGGUGGCGACCGGCGCACGGGUGAGUAACGCGUAUGCAACUUACCUAUCAGAGGGGGAUAGCCCGGCGAAAGUCGGAUUAAUACCCCAUGAAACAGGGGUCCCGCAUGGGAAUAUUUGUUAAAGAUUCAUCGCUGAUAGAUAGGCAUGCGUUCCAUUAGGCAGUUGGCGGGGUAACGGCCCACCAAACCGACGAUGGAUAGGGGUUCUGAGAGGAAGGUCCCCCACAUUGGAACUGAGACACGGUCCAAACUCCUACGGGAGGCAGCAGUGAGGAAUAUUGGUCAAUGGACGAGAGUCUGAACCAGCCAAGUAGCGUGAAGGAUGACUGCCCUAUGGGUUGUAAACUUCUUUUAUACGGGAAUAAAGUCAGCCACGUGUGGUUUUUUGCAUGUACCGUAUGAAUAAGGAUCGGCUAACUCCGUGCCAGCAGCCGCGGUAAUACGGAGGAUCCGAGCGUUAUCCGGAUUUAUUGGGUUUAAAGGGAGCGUAGAUGGGUUGUUAAGUCAGUUGUGAAAGUUUGCGGCUCAACCGUAAAAUUGCAGUUGAUACUGGCAGUCUUGAGUACAGUUGAGGUAGGCGGAAUUCGUGGUGUAGCGGUGAAAUGCUUAGAUAUCACGAAGAACUCCGAUUGCGAAGGCAGCUUACUGGACUGUAACUGACGCUGAUGCUCGAAAGUGUGGGUAUCAAACAGGAUUAGAUACCCUGGUAGUCCACACAGUAAACGAUGAAUACUCGCUGUUUGCGAUAUACAGCAAGCGGCCAAGCGAAAGCAUUAAGUAUUCCACCUGGGGAGUACGCCGGCAACGGUGAAACUCAAAGGAAUUGACGGGGGCCCGCACAAGCGGAGGAACAUGUGGUUUAA